rnacentral:rRNA from 1 species
CGACCGGCGCACGGGUGAGUAACGCGUAUGCAACUUACCUAUCAGAGGGGGAUAACCCGGCGAAAGUCGGACUAAUACCGCAUAAAGCAGGGGCCCCGCAUGGGGAUAUUUGCUAAAGAUUCAUCGCUGAUAGAUAGGCAUGCGUUCCAUUAGGCAGUUGGCGGGGUAACGGCCCACCAAACCGACGAUGGAUAGGGGUUCUGAGAGGAAGGUCCCCCACAUUGGUACUGAGACACGGACCAAACUCCUACGGGAGGCAGCAUG